CAGUUCACACCUGCUGGGGGCAGGGACUGUGACGAGGUGAGGGUCACACAGUUCACACCUGCUGCACCUGCUGGGGGCAGGGACUGUGACGAGGUGAGGGUCACACAGUUCACACCUGCUGCACCUGCUGGGGGCAGGGACUGUGACGAGGUGAGGUCACACAGUUCACACCUGCUGGGGGCAGGGACUGUGACGAGGUGAGGGUCACACAGUUCACACCUGCUGCACCUGCUGGGGGCAGGGACUGUGACGAGGUGAGGUCACACAGUUCACACCUGCUGGGGGCAGGGACUGUGACGAGGUGAGGGUCACACAGUUCACACCUGCUGCACCUGCUGGGGGCAGGGACUGUGAUGAGGUGAGGGUCACACAGUUCACACCUGCUGCACCUGCUGGGGGCAGGGACUGUGAUGCGGUGAGGGUCACACAGUUCACACCUGCUGCACCUGCUGGGGGCAGGGACUGUGAUGCGGUGAGGUCACACAGUUCACACCUGGUGCACCUGCUGGGGGCCCCCACGCCUGUCCUGGGCUGGAUGAGCCCUCACCCCUGCAGGGUGUUGUAGGCUAUAAUGCUCUCUACAUAUGCCACCCACCAGAUCCUUGCCAGCCUUGGAAGUGGGUUUCUGUCUACCUGUUUUAUGGAAACAGUCCCUGGGGCUCAGAGGGGCCAGGUGACUGUCCCUAGGUCACACAGGGGAUAGCUGGCGGAGCAGGAAUCCCACCUGUUCAUCCGUCUGACACUGGGACCUGUGUCCCCUCUGACUGUCUCAUCCGUUUCCUCAGCCCCCUUGCUGGACACAGCUAUUUUGGGGCAGACGGCACCCGUCCCACUGCCGGCCUGAGGGUGGGGUGGAGGCCCUCAGCUCCCAGCACCACCCAUCAGUGGAGAAAGGCCCUGGGCCAUGGGGAUGGUUGCCCAAGCCGGCGGGAAGCAGUAACUGGCAGGCAGGGACACCCACCACGGGCAGGGAGACAGUGUAUGGACCCCCAGGCAGGAGUCAGCCUGGCAGGGUGGAGGCAGAGGCAGGGGUACGGCAGACGGGCCUUCCCUCGAGCCUCACUGGCCCAGGUGCUGGUCAGACAGCCCUGCCCAUCCCCCAAGACCGCCCCGGUCCUGGAACCUUCCCCGCACAGUGCAGCUGAGCCCUCAGGGUAGCAGCGCUGGGCCGUAGCGGCAGGCGUCCAGGUUAGCAGCUUGACUGUGAGGUGGGACGAGGUCUUGGGAGACUGGCUGCACAGGUGCCCAGUGCAGGGCAAGGUGGGGCCUCACACGGCUGGGCCCCAGUGGCGUCUGUGGACGCUGCCGCCAGGGCAGGCCAGAGAGAGCCACCUGCCCUGCCCAUGAGGGGAGUGGGGAGCGCCCAGAACCCGGGGGCUGCCUCGUUCUCCCCACCUCCAUACCACAUUCAAGGGCAUAGGACAGAGGGGUCACACUUCCACCAGACCCCUGGCCGGGAGGCCACAGAGAAGAAGGGGAGAGCCCAGAGAGCGGGGAACACGCAGCUCCCUGACUCUGGGAAACAGGCUAGACGGGGACUGCGGCCCCGGGACCUGGCUGGUGGUCGGUGACCUAAAGCAUGCAGUAGGCACUCCAUCAGUGCGUGUUCUCUGGCAUGCCGCCUGUUUCCUGGAGGCCAGAGGUCGGGUCACAGCACAGGGUGUUCUGGUGAGGCCUGGGCACCAGGCUUGCCAGCGGGGCCGCGGUGGUGGCAUCCAGGGAGGAGUGCUUAGCAGGAGCACUGGCAGAUCCAGAAAAGCUGAGCUCAGCAUUUAGGCCCAAACCACCGGGUGGGGGAUGGGGGACUGCAGCCAUGGGGUGCCUCUCCCUUUCUGGCUGUGGCCCUGGGAAACUCACAGCCUCUCAGGGGCUCAGUCAGCCCCAUUGUUAAGAGGGACAAUGGGGCCGGGCACAGUGGCUCAUGCCUGUAAUCCCAGCACUUUGGGAGGCUGAGGCAGGUGGAUCACCUGAAGUCAGGAGUUCAAGACCAACCGGGCCAACGUGGCAAAAACCCAUCUCUGCUAAAAAUACAAAAACUAGCCAGGUGUCGUGGCACGGGCUUGUAGUCCCAGCUACUCAGAAGGCUGAGGCAGGAGAAUCGCUUGAGCCCGGGAGGCAGAGGUUGCAGUGACCAAGAUCACGCCACUGCACUCCAGCCUGGGCGACAGAGUAA
ensembl:lncRNA